rnacentral:misc_RNA from 1 species
GCAUUCUACGUGAACGCAAAUAUGAACUCCUCCAUUCUUCCCUCUCGAAAGCUUUAUCAUCUGCACAAAACCCCAAACAACUUCACAAAGUCCACACCCUCUUAAUCACAUCCGGUCUUGAAAUAUCUGCCUUCUUCUCUGGCAAGCUCAUAAGCAAAUAUGCCCAGCUCAAGGAGCCCAUUUCUUCUUUUUCAGUCUUUCACCAACUCUCUCCUGCUGCCAACGUCUAUCAGUGGAAUUCGAUAAUUAGAGCGCUCACCCACUGUGGGUUGUUUUCAAAAGCUCUUGAACUUUACGCCAAAAUGCGGGAUAUGAAACUUAAGCCUGAUACGUACACAUUCCCUUCUGUGAUUAAUGCGUGCGCAGCUGCGGGGGAUUUUCAGACGGGUUGUGUUGUUCACAAUCAUGUUUUGGAAAUGGGUUUUGGAUUUGAUUUGUAUAUUGGGAAUGCUCUAGUAGAUAUGUAUGCAAGGUUCGGUGAUUUGAUAAAAGCACGUAAUAUAUUUGAGGAAAUGCCCCACAGGGACAUUGUGUCGUGGAAUAGCUUGAUUUCGGGGUAUAGUGCUAAUGCGUAUUGGGAGGAGGCUUUAGAAAUUUAUUACCAGGCAAGAAUAGCUGGGUUGAAACCCGACCCUUUUACCAUUUCAAGUGUCCUCCCUGCUUUUGGAGGCUUGCUUGCUAUUAAAGAGGGUGAGGUGGUUCAUGGAUUGGUCGAAAAGCUUGGGAUCAAUGCCGAUAUCAUAGUGAGCAAUGGACUUCUGUCUAUCUAUUUCAAAUUUGGUAGGCUAAUGGAUGCUCGAAGAGUUUUCAGCCAGAUGGUUGUCAAGGAUACGGUCAGUUGGAACACUUUGAUAUGUGGAUAUUGUCAAAUGGAAUUGUUUGAAGAGUCGAUUGAGUUAUUUAUGGAGAUGGUAAGGAGCUUUAGACCAGAUUUGUUGACAAUUACGUCUAUUCUUCGUGCUUGUGGUCUCCUGCAGGACUUGGAAUUUGGAAAGUUUGUUCAUGAUUACAUGAUAAGAAGUGGUUUUGAAUGCGAUGUCACAGCAAGUAAUAUUAUUAUUGAUAUGUAUGCUAAGUGUGGGGAUUUAGUAGCUUCAGGAAAAGUCUUUGACAGGAUGAAAUAUAGGGAUUCUGUGUCAUGGAACACAUUGAUCAAUGGUUAUAUUCAAAGUGGGAGCUAUGAUAAAGGGGUGAAGCUUUUUAAGAAGAUGAAGAUGGACUUGAAACCUGAUUGUAUCACUUUUGUGGCACUCCUGUCUAUCUCUACUCGAUUAGCAGACAUGGAACUGGGAAAAGAAAUCCACUGUGAUUUAGCUAAAUUAGGAUUUGAUUCAGAUUUGGUAGUAUGUAAUGCUUUAGUUGAUAUGUAUGCUAAGUGUGGCAAAAUAGAUUAUGCCCUUAUGGUUUUUGAAAAUAUGAAAGUUCAUGACAUAGUAACGUGGAAUACAGUUAUUGCAGCUUGUGUCCAGGCUGAAGAUUGUAGUUUGGGAUUAAGAAUGGUUAACCAGAUGAAGAAUGAGGAAUUCAUGCCAGAUAUGGCUACCAUGUUAGGUAUAUUGCCUAUCUGUUCUGCAAUAGCUGCCAAAAGGCAAGGGAAAGAGGUUCAUGCUUGUACUUUCAAGCUUGGAUCUGAGUCAGCUGUUUCCGUUGGGAAUGCAUUGAUUGAAAUGUACUCCAAAUGUGGCAAUUUAAUGUACUCUAUCAGAGUGUUUGAGCAUAUGAAAACAAAAGAUGUGGUGACAUGGACUGCAUUGAUCUCUGCAUAUGGGAUGCAUGGUGAGGGAAAGAAUGCUUUGAAAUCUUUUGAGGAGAUGUUAGCAGCUGGGCUUAUUCCUGAUCAUGUCGCUUUUAUUGCCAUCAUCUAUGCCUGUAGUCAUUCAGGUUUAGUAGAAGAGGGUCUGGCUUACUUUGACCGCAUGAAGAAGGAUUACAACAUUGAGCCCAGUAUUGAACACUACGCUUGUGUGGUUGAUCUUCUGUCCCGGUCUGGCCAGUUAUCUAAAGCAGAAGAGUUUAUCAAUUCAAUGCCACUGAAGCCAGAUGCAAGCAUAUGGGGAGCUUUACUUAGUGCUUCUCGAGCAAGUGGAGAACUAAAGAUUGCAGAACGCAUCUCACAACAUAUUGUUCAAUUAGAUUUUGAUGAUCCUGGAUAUUAUGUUUUAGUAGCAAAUGUUUAUGCAGCUUUAGGGAGGUGGGAUGAUGUCAGAAUGAUACGACAAUCCAUAAAGGUCAAAGGACUGAAAAAAGAUCCUGGAUGCAGUUGGAUUGAAAUUAAGAAAAGGGCGUAUGCUUUUGGGACUGGAGAUAAGUUCUUUAAACAGUAUGAAAAGGUAAAUAAGUUAUUAGGGACCCUUGCUAAUUUGAUGGCCAAAGAAGGUUAUGUGGCUGAUUUGCAAUAUGCUCUUCAUGAUGUUGAGGAGGAUGAAAAGAGAGGCUUACUUUAUGGCCACAGUGAAAGGCUUGCCAUAGCAUUUGGAUUGUUAAAUACAGAACCAGGGACCCCCUUACAAAUAUUGAAAAACCUUCGUGUUUGUGGGGAUUGUCACACUUGGACCAAGUACGUAUCAAAGAUUGUAAAACGGGAAAUAUUAGUAAGAGAUGCCAAUAGAUUUCAUAAGUUCCAAGAUGGGACAUGUAGCUGUGGAGAUCAUUGGUAAUAUACUUCUUCAAAUAUCACAUUUUUUAAUGAUAAACAAGUUGAGUGAUGGAUGAUGGAGAUUCCUUGGGCACCUUCUAUGAGCCAAAGGUAGACCCAA